GAUGAACGCUGGCGGCGUGCCUAAUACAUGCAAGUCGAGCGAACAGACGAGGAGCUUGCUCCUCUGACGUUAGCGGCGGACGGGUGAGUAACACGUGGAUAACCUACCUAUAAGACUGGGAUAACUUCGGGAAACCGGAGCUAAUACCGGAUAAUAUAUUGAACCGCAUGGUUCAAUAGUGAAAGACGGUUUUGCUGUCACUUAUAGAUGGAUCCGCGCCGCAUUAGCUAGUUGGUAAGGUAACGGCUUACCAAGGCGACGAUGCGUAGCCGACCUGAGAGGGUGAACGGCCACACUGGAACUGAGACACGGUCCAGACUCCUACGUGAGGCAGCAGUAGGGAAGCGUCCGCAAUGGGCGAAAGCCUGACGGAGCAACGCCGCGUGAGUGAUGAAGGUCUUCGGAUCGUAAAACUCUGUUAUUAGGGAAGAACAAAUGUGUAAGUAACGAUGCACGUCUGGACGGUACCUAAUCAGAAAGCCACGGCUAACUACGU
rnacentral:rRNA from 1 species